rnacentral:rRNA from 1 species
UGAGCCCUACGGGACGCAGCAGUGGGGAAUAUUGCACAAUGGGGGAAACCCUGAUGCAGCAACGCCGCGUGAGUGAAGAAGUAUUUCGGUAUGUAAAGCUCUAUCAGCAGGGAAGAAGAAAGACGGUACCUGACUAAGAAGCCCCGGCUAACUACGUGCCAGCAGCCGCGGUAAUACGUAGGGGGCAAGCGUUAUCCGGAUUUACUGGGUGUAAAGGGAGCGUAGACGGUGAUGCAAGUCUGGAGUGAAAGGCGGGGGCCCAACCCCCGGACUGCUCUGGAAACUGUGUAACUUGAGUGCAGGAG